rnacentral:rRNA from 1 species
AACGAACGCUGGCGGCAUGCCUAACACAUGCAAGUCGAACGAGACCUUCGGGUCUAGUGGCGCACGGGUGCGUAACGCGUGGGAACCUGCCUUUAGGUUCGGAAUAACUCAGAGAAAUUUGAGCUAAUACCGGAUGAUGUCUUCGGACCAAAGAUUUAUCGCCUUUAGAUGGGCCCGCGUUGGAUUAGCUUGUUGGUGGGGUAAAGGCCUACCAAGGCGACGAUCCAUAGCUGGUCUGAGAGGAUGAUCAGCCACACUGUGACUGAGACACGGCCCAGACUCCUACGGGAGGCAGCAGUGGGGAAUAUUGGACAAUGGGCGAAAGCCUGAUCCAGCAAUGCCGCGUGAGUGAUGAAGGCCUUAGGGUUGUAAAGCUCUUUUACCCGAGAUGAUAAUGACAGUAUCGGGAGAAUAAGCUCCGGCUAACUCCGUGCCAGCAGCCGCCGUAACAC